AUUGGGUUUAAAGUGCGCGUAGGCGGAUCGGCUAGUCAGGCGUGAAAGCCCCGGGCUCAACCUGGGAACUGCGCUUGAAACUGCCGGACUAGAGUCCGGGAGAGGGUGGUGGAAUUCCCAGUGUAGAGGUGAAAUUCGUAGAUACUGGGAAGAACACCAGUGGCGAAGGCGGCCACCUGGACCGGUACUGACGCUAAGGUGCGAAAGCGUGGGGAGCAAACAGGAUUAGAUACCCGAGUA
rnacentral:rRNA from 1 species